GAAUAUUUUUCAUGCACCAAAGCUCGUUAAGACUAGAUGGGGUAUCCCUACAUGGCGGGUGGGACCCACGGCGAACGGUUCAUCAAGACUUAAAAAAAGAAUAUAUACGAUUGCAUUGCAUAUACUAACGGAUGCGAUCAUACCAGCACUAAUGCACCGGAUCCCAUCAGAACUCCGCAGGUAAGCGUGCUUGGGCGAGAGUAGUAACUAGGAUGGGUGACCUCCCGGGAAGUCCUCGUGUUGCAUCCCUCUUUUUUUUUUUUUUUUUUUUGGUUAAAACUUUAUGACUCGAUAACUUCUACACCG
rnacentral:rRNA from 1 species